rnacentral:rRNA from 2 species
ACGUGAUCUGAGUUCAGACCGGAGUAAUCCAGGUCAGUUUCUAUCUAUAAGGAGCUUUUUUUAGUACGAAAGGACCAAAAAAGCAUGGCCCAUGUUUAUGAUAAGCCAUCUCUACUAAUUUCUGUUUUAAACUUAACUUUUAUUUAGUCCACACUUUAGCUCAAGAGCAGAGCA